AUAUCUUGUAAGUUUCCUUGUAGGACUUCAUUUUCUUAGUCAAGUGAAUUUUAAAGGCAGUAGAUAACAGUCUUAAAUUAUUUAUGCCUUAAUAUGUGCCUGAGGGUCACCUAGGUGAACCUACACUCUUCUGCAGGACUAUCGAUAAAGUUUUCCAGCGUGUGAAGAUAACUGAGGACCGUCUCUCUCAGGAGUGGCAUCAUCACUUGUGCUCGCUAGAGGUUGUAAGCAGCGGUGAGAGUACAUAUGUGCAACAUCUUGUGUGUUACCGCUUCUCGGUGCGGCUGCAACGUUUAAUCAAUACAAACAUGCCUUGUGCUCCUUUGAUUCAUAAAACGCUGGAUGUCUCGCUAAUCUGAGCCAGAGAGGAACAUAUAUUUGCAGCUGACCUUUAACUGGAAGGCGUGGAAGAUGGCUGUACUUGCUUUGCAGUUGAGGAGCACAAAACCAGUAAUGCAAAUGUUCAGUUUCUGGCAUGCAAAUCGGCAGGCCAGGUGGUAGCACACCUGCCUGUUCAGCGCCCAACACAUCACGCGUGCAGAGGAAGCAAACAGAGGGUGACACUUGUGUAGUGCUCCACAGCCAAGGAUUCCUUCAGAGAGAAAACCUCCUUUCCUACAGGUGUUGGUGUGGAUGCGUACGAGAAGAGGAUGACAGGCGUGCGCGGCUGGUUGUACGCAAUUAGCACCUGCUAGAUGGGCAAAAGGCAAUUAUCGCCGGGAAGUGCUUACAUUGAUUUAUGGGAGGAAGGCGGCCCAGGAGAGGGAUGCUGAUAAUCUCAACGCAGUGGAUUAAAUGCACAUUUACACCUUUAUUGACGUAUAAAUUACCCGUGCCAGCAAUGCACUGAAGAGGCUGCUGAUGGAGCAAUAAUGUGGCACGAAGUACUGGGUCCGGAUUCAGCUCCGUCAUCCUUCUGUAAGGCACGGAAAGGGAACCCCACGCCUGAGCUGAAAUAGAAGAUAGAGGCUCACAGAGGGGCUGCCCGGUCAGAUAAUGAGCACUGAUGGCAGACAGGAACUGAGAAGGAUGACAAAAAGCAUGGACGAGGUCUGAAGGAGUCCGCUUGCUAUUUUUUUUUUAGUUACUUUUAGAUUUUUGUUGUUGUUCGUGCUAUGGAUUUUUAGGGAAAGCUGAGAGAGGCCGGAGGAGUAUGUGUAGUUGGGAAAUGGAACCUGGCUCUGAAUCCAGCCAACAUCAGAAAAGGAAGCCCGUGACACAUGGACUGGAAGAUCAAAAAAGGACGUGACCAACUUGAAACAACUCAAAAUGCACAGUGGAACAUACUUAAUGUCAGCUGACAGAUCCCAUUUUGCACAAGUGCUUUGUGGAAGCCUGGUGUGUCAAGGUGGCAUUGUAUUAUUUAAUGGUAAUUGAUUGGCUAUGUGCAUUAAGUUGACCUAAAUGAAGUUGCUAUCUCUGAAAAACUGUAGCUUGUGAACAACUGGGGCUUCAAAGUUGUUUUCCUGGUACCAGUCAAACAGACGGUAACACUUGACAUGCUUUUGCUGUAUGUAUCAUUUGUAUUGUUUUCCAUGCAGAUUUGUUUGUUGGUUUAAAACAGCAAAAACAGCACCAACAAAAACCAAUGCUGUUACUUGGCUUUGUGUGAAGAGCUCCCUUUCCCUGUGGCUUUUAUCCAUGAUUUGUAUUUCAUGUGAAAUAAAUUGGGGUGGGGGGUAAGACGGACCAUCAAAUAUUAUUUUGCUGUUCAACGGUGCUGUCUAAUUUUGGAGAGGAGGAGGCAUGUGUCACAAAUUCUUCGAGUCUACUGAAGAGUCAGAGUGGAUUUUGUCACUCCAUUAGAAAUCAAAGCAGCUUGGAAAACUUUCAGAAAUGAGAUAAAACAUAGCUGUUUCCUCAGAAGAAUGACAUUUCAGGAGUACUUAUUUGGGCAACCAACUAGAAUUCCAAAAUAUAUUUUAAUUGCACCAAGCGUGAUCUGUUAACUGAUAAGCUGACACGGUCUUCCUUCUGCUUUUUCAAGGAAGCCUUUUGGAGCUGAAGAAAAUCAAUAAGGGCAGCAAUAAAAUCCUUCAAUCGACUUUAUUUCUGGAGGCCACUCAUAUUUUAUGUUUUCCUCAGGCAUGCAGUAGUGUACUGUGUAUCGAGUAGAUGGGAAAAACAUUUGGGACCUGAGACACCAAAGUAGACUCUGACUGUUUGGAUGCCCCAAAAUUAAUAUGCCUCUCCUUGCUGAUAGGUAUAGAAGCCUACAUCUCCCAUCUGCUCCUGGCUCUGGGUAUUUGGUACACAUGUAGUAUAUGGUCUCUGAAAGUAUAAUAUAACCCCAAGUGAGGCUCAGUGGCAGCUGGGAUAACAUCAAUUGGUCAUGCUUUGCUGACAUUCAUUUUAACUUGAACUCUAGCCGUCAUGGAGAUUAUUAAAUUUAUAAUGAUAUAUGUAAGAUCCAUUUUAAUGACUCUUCAUGCUUGGGUGAUCUCUCUCACUUCUGUUUGCAAAACAAGUCUUAAUAGAGUAUUACAUUUCAUUUCCUAUUGAAUUUUCCAGGGAAAGGUUACUGAAGAGAGCUUCAGACUUGUGUUUACUGGGAAAAAUAAUUUUGGAAUAAAAGUGUUGACACGACUCAGUUGUUAUGGUGGAGUUGAAUAAUAAUGUAAACUGUGAUGUUCUUAAGCUUAAAAUUGUUUGAUUUCUUAUUGGAAAAAAAUGUGUUUGUGAUCCAAGGCUGUUAGAAGUGUCUACUGAUGAUUAAUUCUGUUACUGAAAAAUGAGACUAGUACUGGAAGAAAUAAGACCAAGCUCAUUUGAAAUCA